UUUUUGCAGCAAGCGUCGUAGUAGACACAUUGAUUGGUGGUACGCGAUAGUGGAAGCAGGUUGCCAAAAUAACAGGUCUUGUAUGUCUCUUAUAUGGCGCUAACGACGGCUCCAGAUCAAUCUAGAAAGCAUUUGUGGAAGAAGUGAACCAGUAGGCUAAGGGACUGAUUUCCAGCUUGAUUCAUCUUCUGCCACAGAAGUAAUACAUUCACAUUAUCAUUGUGAUUAUUUGGUUUUGUGAUCUUUUCACUUAUAGUUCAUAGUUUG